ACGAAUAUUCGAUGCAAGUGUUAAAUUUACAUGUAUAAAAUAAAAUUACUUUUACUACUGUUUGAUUUUUCUAUUUAUAUAUACUCAUGUACCCUAAUUUUUACACAACGUACAACUAAAUUUCAUUUAUUAAAAAGUAGCUAACAACCGGUUUUAAAAAUAAUUUUUAGGUUAACCAUAUUACGGGAGGAAUAUUUAGUUGGAAUACAUGAUUCGAACGAUACACAACAACUGUACUUCAUUACUUUUUCAAAUAAAUUAAAAAAAUAUAAGCUUUAAGCAAAGUAGUAAAUUUAAAAAUACUACGUGACUUUACUCACAUAAGAUUGAGUUGUUUAACGAGUGAACAACUCUAUUUAUUCGUUGUAACUCAAACGUAUACUAUACAGGUAUUAUACAACUCAUUAGUUAUGCUACUCAUAAUAAAUUCAGAAAUAUUUACUAUGUUUAUAUUGUACAACUAAAACGUUUCAAAAUAAUUCAAAACGGUUAAAAGAAAUAUAGAAAUUCAGCAUUUAUGUGCAAAUUCUCAAUACCGUUUUUGUAUGAAGUAUAACAUAAAACGUUUUAAAUAAAAUUAGGUUAAAUGAUCAUCAAUUGAUCACUGUUCACAUAAAUAAUUAACACAGUCUCAUAAUUACUUAAAGAUGAAGUUUUGUUUUCAAAAUGUUUACAUGAUAUUCUAUUGUUUUUAUUUCAAAACGAAUUCGGUUUAAAACGUUCAGCGUUCCGUAAAAACAUAAUAGUUAUCUCAAAUGUAGCAAGACUAACAUUCAUUUAUUAAUGAAAAAUCUAUCAAUGAGUUUGAUGAUUUUCCGACUACGUGAUAUAUGAUUAUUUAAUCAUAGAACAUGUCAUUAUAAAAAUACAAAAUACAAAAUGAUAAUCGAUAAAAUUAUUAAAUGUUAAAAAUAUGUUUAUCAUUUUAUCAUAAUUAAGUAACGGAAUUUUAUGAAUUAUACAUUUUGUGUGAGUUAUCUUAAAAAGGUUACAAGUUUGUAAAUUUUGUUUGUAGAAAUAUAUAAAUAUUUUUAAAUUAUUAAGAAAUAAAUCUUCUCAUAAAAAAAAAAAUAAGAAAUACACUUUAGUUUUUGAAAGGAUUUAUAAUUAGUGAAAACAAUAUUUAUAAUUUUAUCAUGGUACACAUAAUAAUAUUAAUAAUAAUAAAAUUUCGUAUAAUUAUUAAUUUUGAUUUUCAAUAUGUUAAUAGUUCUCUGUGCGAAAUUCUUUCCAAAAUAUUAUGUUAAACCUAUUUUUUUUAGUUUUUUUAAAUAGAUUUUACAAAAAUUAAACACUCCAGAAACGUUUCCUACCAACUCAGUCUAUUGAAAUACUGCAACGGAUAAACGGUUUAUUAUUUAAAUAAUAAUAAUAUUUAAAUGGGAAUAUUCACUAUAGUAACUAUUAUUUAAAAAAUAUAUCAUUUCAAUUUAAUUUUUGAAAAUGUUCCGGAAAUAUUCCGAGCUUCAAACUUGUGAUAAAUUAAAGCUUAUGUUACAAACCAGAAGUUAAAUAAAAAAUCAAUGAUAAUUUAACAAAAACUAUACAUUUCAUUUUUAUUCCGUGUAAUUAUUUGUUGUUUUUGAUUAGUUAAUUUAAUCGCUUUAAAAACUAGAGAUGAUAGAAUAAAUACAAUUGUAGAUUUAAAAUCGGCGCAAAAAAUUAGCUUUGGAAAGUAUUAUUUUGUUGACCAGCUGACAAGUGUUUAAAAUGAUUAAUGAUUUCAUUGGAAAAAUUUUUGAAGUAUUGAAAAAUAAAGGGAAAAACAUUAUUGAACUGGACAAUGUGCGGUAUUGUCAAAAAACAUUGGCUGUGACUCAUAGCUGUCACAUAAACUGUAUUAUCCAUUAAAUCAAGAACAAUCUAAACUUCAAAAUCCUUUACUAAAUUUAUUUAAGUAUUGUAAUACUAUUUUUCAUUGUAUCAAAAUAGUGUAAUAUUAUACAAAUGAAUAAUUAUUUUGCAAUGAUUAAAGAACAUUACGCCUAGAUCAAAAUUUUACAUAAAUUAGAAAUCAAUUUUGAAUUAUUUUUCAAUUCAAGGUGACAAUUUUCCUCUAUUGAUAAUUUGGGUGUUCAAUAAGUAAAUGUGCCAGUGAAUAGGAGUAGUUCGAUUUUUUUUUAAUUAAAAAAAAAAAUCGCUUAUUUACAUAAAAUUAAAUUACUCUUCUGUUGUAAAAAUACAUAUAUAUAUAUUUCUCUUAUAAUACACGUAUCAUGCUAAUACUAA